AGGGCCAGGAGGGGGCUGGGGCUGGAACAGUGGAGGAGGUCCCAGGAGCAGCCCGAGGGCAGAGGGGUCCCUGGAGAAAGGAGAGGAGGGGGCGCUUCCUCCAGAAAGGAGCUGGGCUAUUGUUACACUUUCCGAGGCCAGGGAAUUUCUCCAGGAGGUUGUGACAACCAAAAAAUAAUAAUAAUAACGCCCCUCCCCCAGCAGCAGGAAUUCUGGAAAAAACAGCUGCUGCUGCUAUCGGGCGGAGGAAAAAACAAGGUCAGGCGCUGCGAAGAUUUAAUUCAAGGCGCGCACCCGCAGCCCGCCGGAUGCGCAGCGCGGGAUUCGGGGUUCGUGGCCCGGCGAGAGCCAAGUGGAGCGCCCGGCGGUCCCUCCAGCCUCGGCCCCACGUCGCGGCCGGGGUCUCGGGCCGAAGCCCUGCCCGGCGUGGCGGUCGCAGUGGCUCUGGCUUCCGCGUGCCAGCCGGCCCGGAGACCGACUGGGGAGGGGUGGCCCGCGCUCGCUCGGGGCUGCCUUCUGCCCCGGAUGCUCGGGGAGGGGAAUGCUAAAUCCAUCUUCAACAAACCACCCAAUAAAUGGGGGCGGGGGGCAGAAAGGAAGAGGAGGACGCCGCUAUCGGGAGAAUGGAGCCCGACCUUAAUCAUAAGUGACAGGGGAAUGGGCCGCGGGCGCUGGCGGGCCAGGCUCGGGCAGGGUCAUCAAGACCCCAUCCCCACCUCGGUCCUCCACUUGCCCAGCGGGCUGCGCCUUUCUCCGCUGGGGGAGGGAGCGUCAACCCGCCGGGCGGAGAGGGCGGGCUCUGGGGUCGGUCCGCUUAGAGGCGGGGGUUUGGCUGGGCCUGGAAAGUUCUGGGCGCUGACGCCCACUCCCCAGGGCCUCACUCGCCGUCUGGGCCCCCGAGGGGCUGCAGGUGGAGAACGCAGUGGGUCCGGGACGCGGUGGGUCUUGCUGGCACCCUGGGCGAGGCCUCGUCGUCGGCGCGGGCGCGGAGCAGGCCCUGCGGGAGCGCAGUCAUUUUGCAGCGAGUAG
rnacentral:lncRNA from 1 species